AGGAUGAACGCUAGCGGCAGGCUUAAUACAUGCAAGUCGUGGGGCAGCAGGUUUGUAGCAAUACAGAUGCUGGCGACCGGCAAACGGGUGCGGAACACGUACAGAACCUUCCUUGAGCGGGGAAUAGCCCAGAGAAAUUUGGAUUAAUACCCCAUAGUAUAAUGAAGUGGCAUCACUUUAUUAUUAAAGAUUUAUCACUCGAAGAUGGCUGUGCGGCUGAUUAGGUAGUUGGCGGGGUAAAGGCCCACCAAGCCUGCGAUCAGUGACUGGUGUGAGAGCACGACCAGUCACACGGGCACUGAGACAGGGCCCGACUCCUACGGGAGGCAGCAGUAAGGAAUAUUGGUCAAUGGAGGCAACUCUGAACCAGCCAUGCCGCGUGGAGGAUGAAGGUCCUCUGGAUUGUAAACUUCUUUAUAUGGGACGAAAAAGGCUUUUCUAAGUCGUCUGACGGUACCAUAUGAAUAAGCACCGGCUAACUCCGUG
rnacentral:rRNA from 1 species